rnacentral:lncRNA from 1 species
UGGGUUGUGAGGAUGCGCAAAUAUUCAGCUUUUUCUCAGAUCUCGUGUUCCGUAAAAUUUUGUGGUUUACUGUACCUUUUGCAAGCUACGA